CAUCAUUAUUUUUGCAUGGAUGAGAAGGAGACGACCCAGGUGUUUGAGAAACUCUUCAAGUUCACCGGCAACAACCUCAAGAACAUCAUCGAGAGCCCCUCCCAUGAGGAGCCCGACCCUAACCCGGGCCGCUACUGCUUCCGGCUCUGCAAGAACCGGAUCUACUAUGUCAGCGAGUCACUGGUCAAGCGCACCACCAACAUCGGCCGGCACAACCUGGCAUCCCUAGGAACCUGCAUUGGCAAGUUCACCAAGGGCGGGAGCUUCCACUUGACAAUCCAGGCGCUGAGCAUUUUGGCCGCCAAUGCGAAGCACAAGGUCUGGCUCAAGCCCACCUCGGAGAUGUCAUUCCUCUAUGGGAAUCACGUGUUGAAGGGUGGAUUGGGGAGGAUCACUGAAAACAUCAAUCCAGGUGAUGGAGUGGUGGUCUUUUCAAUGUCUGACGUUCCUUUGGGAUUUGGGAUUUCACAAAGGUCAACACAGGAUUGUAGGAAGUUGGAUCCAAAUGGGCUUGUCGUGCUUCAUCAGGCUGAUAUUGGGGAGUACUUGAGGAUGGAGGAUGAACUUUGAAUGAGGGUUUUCUUAUACAUUGGGUUGUUAGGCAUGAAAAGGAUAAGGACUUUUUUUGGCUGAAGCCGCUAAGAAUGCAUAAUUAAGGGUCCAUCCAUGUUCAAAGACAAACAGUGGCAAGGAAUAUUCAAGAUUCCCCAAGCCAAGCUUCGUUUCAUAUCUCAGAACCAACCUCCAUGCACUCAAGAAUCUGUAGAUAGUGGUGGACCAUGAAGUUGGCAACUGGAAAAUGCUAGUGGAUAUUCAGUGCAUGCUGUUAGAUGAGGAUGUUGUGUUGUAGACUGGAAAAUGUUAGUUUUAAUGUUGUUUCUAAGUGGAUUUGUCUAUAUACUAUGUGUUGAGUUAUGCCUGCUGUAUUGGGAUGUUUGUCUUUUCCAUCAAAUAACGUGGAUCAGCUUGUCUAA